AGCCCAAACUCUAGCCCAACCACCACUAAACAUCUACCGAUCAGAACCUAACUACCCGAAUACACCUACAACCAAAACAUUUUCAUUGUCCUAGUAUAGGAGAUAGAACAGACACUUGGAGCAAUAGACCUACAGUACCGUAAGGGAAAGAUGAAAUAGCAAUGAAAAUAUUAAAGCAACAAAACAGCAAAGAUAAACCCUUGUACCUUUUGCAUCAUGGUUUAGCAAGAAUAACCAAACAAAACGACUUGAAGUUUGCCCCCCCGAAACCCGAGCGAGCUACUGGCAAGCAGCUAUUUAUGAGCAAACCCGUCUCUGUUGCAAAAGAGUGGGAAGACUUGCUAGUAGAGGUGAAAAGCCAAUCGAGCCGGGUGAUAGCUGGUUGCCUGUAAAAUGAACCUAAAUUCGCCCUUAAUCUAACCCAAAAGACCGCUUAAAUGCCUGCCCGUACAGAUUAAGAGUUAUUUAAAGGGGGUACAGCCCCUUUAAAAAAGAAUACAAUCUCCACCAGAGGAUAAGCACCAGCCCAUUACUCAGCCUGUAGGCCUUUAAGCAGCCAUCAACAAAGAGUGCGUCAAAGCUCCAUAAGCCUAAAAAUUCCAGAACAAUGCGACUCCCUCACCCCMAACAGGCUAACCUAUAAUAAUAGGAGAACCAAUGCUAGAAUAAGUAACUAGGAAACAACAUUCCUCCCAGGCACAAACUUACAUCUCUCAUUAUUAACAGACCAAUCAAUACUGCAUAAACCCAACAAGAUCUUAGUAUUAAAUCCUAAGCCCUGUUACCCCAACCCAGGAGUGCCAAAAUAAUCAGAAAGAUUCAAACCUGUAAAAGGAACUAGGCAAAACCUAAGGCCCGACUGUUUACCAAAAACAUAGCCUUCAGCUAACCAAGUAUUGAAGGUGAUGCCUGCCCAGUGACACUAAGUUCAACGGCCGCGGUAUCCUAACCGUGCAAAGGUAGCGCAAUCAAUUGUCCCAUAAAUCGAGACUUGUAUGAACGGCUAAACGAGGUCUUAACUGUCUCUUACAGGCAAUCAGUGAAAUUGAUCUCCCCGUGCAAAAGCAGGGAUAAGCACAUAAGACGAGAAGACCCUGUGGAACUUAAAAAUCAGCAGCCACUUAAAACUAACUCCAAACCUACCCAGGAUUACAGACAAAAACAGCCUGGCCUGCAUUUUUCGGUUGGGGCGACCUUGGAGAAAAAUAAACCCUCCAAAAAUAAGACCACAACUCUUGACCAAGAGCAACACCUCAACGUACUAAUAGUAACCAGACCCAGUACAGCUGAUCAAUGGACCAAGCUACCCCAGGGAUAACAGCGCAAUCCCCUUCAAGAGCCCAUAUCGACAAGGGGGUUUACGACCUCGAUGUUGGAUCAGGACAUCCUAAUGGUGCAGCCGCUAUUAAGGGUUCGUUUGUUCAACGAUUAAUCAGUCCUACGUGAUCUGAGUUCAGACCGGAGCAAUCCAGGUCGGUUUCUAUCUAUGAUAAACUUUUCCCAGUACGAAAGGACCGGAGAAGUAAGGCCAAUACUACAAGCACGCCUUCACCAAAGUAAUGAACCAAUCUAAAUUACUUAAUAAUACCUCCACUAACCUAUCCGAAAUAAGGAUC
rnacentral:rRNA from 1 species